AGGGGCGUCGGUUAACUGGCUAAACCACUGGUCUCCAAAACCAGGACUGGGGGUUCAAGUCCCUCCGCCCCUGCCA
rnacentral:tRNA from 1 species